rnacentral:rRNA from 1 species
GACGAACGCUGGCGGCGUGCUUAAUACAUGCAAGUCGAGCGAACAGACCAGGAUCUUGUGCGUCGCUCGUUUGCGGCGGGCGUGUGUGUCACACGUGUAUACUCUACCUAUAAUUCGGGUAAAAUUACGGGAAACGGGAUCUUACCGCAUAGAAUCUCUUGAUCCGUGUGGGGCAUUAGUGAGAUACGGCUUUUCGGGCUCGUAUAGAGGCAUCUCCGCCGCUUUAGGUAGUUGGUAAGGUCACGGGUUAUCAAGGGAACGAUGCGUAGCCGAGUUGAGAGGGUGAUCGGCGACACUGGAACUGAGACAGGGUCCAGACUCCUACGGGAGGCAGCAGUAGGGAAUCUUCCGCAAUGGGCGGAAACCUGACGGAGCAACGCCGAGUGAGUUAUGAAGGUCUUCGGAUCGUAAAACUCUGUUAUUAGGGAAGAACAAAUGUGUAAGUAAAUAUGCACGUCUUGACGGUACCGAAUAAGAAAGCAACGGCUAACUACGUG